rnacentral:rRNA from 1 species
ACGAACGCUGGCGGCGUGCUUCACACCUGCAAGUCGCACGGAAAGGCCCUGCUUUUGUGGGGUGCUCGAGUGGCGAACGGGUGAGUAACACGUGAGUAACCUGCCCUUGACUUUGGGAUAACUUCAGGAAACUGGGGCUAAUACCGGAUAGGAGCUCCUGCUGCAUGGUGGGGGUUGGAAAGUUUCGGCGGUUGGGGAUGGACUCGCGGCUUAUCAGCUUGUUGGUGGGGUAGUGGCUUACCAAGGCUUUGACGGGUAGCCGGCCUGAGAGGGUGACCGGCCACAUUGGGACUGAGAUACGGCCCAGACUCCUACGGGGGGCAGCGGUGGGGAAUAUUGCACAAUGGGCGGAAGCCUGAUGCAGCAACGCCGCGUGCGGGAUGACGGCCUUCGGGUUGUAAACCGCUUUCGCCUGUGACGAAGCGUGAGUGACGGUAAUGGGUAAAGAAGCACCGGCUAACUACGUG